GAAACAAAACGAAAACAAAAAACCAGGGCCCCAGUAUUAGAGUUUCUAAUUCAAUAGGUACAGGAUGGGGCCUGAUAAUUUGCACUUUUAACAAGUUUCCAGGUGCUGCUGCUGCUGCAGAUCUGGGAACCACACUUUGAGAACCACUGAACAAGACAUUAUGUCAUUGGUCCCUAUUAAAAAAAAGAAAGCCAUCUUCAAAUGAUCUUCACACUGGCAGAGCCAUAAGCUGCGAUGGAACCUAACCUCUGUGCCCCUUCAAUGUGGAACAUGUGGUCAUCAAAGAAGAUGUGGGGCCGGAUCUUCACCAAGAUGGGACUUUUGGGGGCUCCAGCAAGGAAAAGAGCUUCGUCUAUCUCUAGACCCCAGCGUCGAAGGGUCUUCAGCACACGGGCGCCUGAACUGGCUGCACUCCUAGCUGUAACCAGCACUGGUGUUCCUGCUUCUAGGCUCAUCUAUGGAUGGAGCCUUGGUGGAUGGGCUCCGGGAUAUUCUAGACCAUUGACUGCGCACAAGGUACCCUCGAGAGUCUGUCUUCCGCAGUGAUGAUUCUUGUGAUCCCUGUGAUGGAAAGAAGAAACCCAACGGUGUAAAACCCCAUCACCAACUCCUUCUAUACGUGUGCCUGCAGAAUAGUCAUGUCAGGCUGAAUAUAGCAGCACCCAGUGAGAAGAUCCCUGGCCUCAAUGACUCUUAACUCAACCUGAACUCUUCUGUACUAUUCUAACUCUGGUCUAGUCCUCACUUCUGUUUGGAGCAUCUAUGUGGGGGUCCACUUGAAAGAGCAUCCAAAACCAAGAUGCAAACAUAUUUUUUCACUGUGACUCCUCUUAUGUGGAUAUUAGUAUGGUUCACCAUUGUUCCUCCCUUUUCCUCACUUCUUCCCUCGAGGAUAAGCCUGUUAACAGAUGCUGAAACAAUAUAUCCACCAUUUUUUACCAGACUGUAAAGGUGAGGGCAACUGGUGCCCCACUGAGGUUGCAGGGGGACUCUAAGGCAGCUGCUGAAAAGGAAUGGAGCCCUCAAGCUUUUCUUUUAGGAGAAACAAGAAUGAAGGACCCCCCGGAACAGCAAAGUAAAAGAGUUUCUAUUUGCCAUAUUCUUCCCCUCACCCAGGUUGUCUGUGGUUCCCCUCCAGAAUCGGUAGUGUGAUCUCUGCUCACCCUCAUCAUGGUGAUCUGCUGGCCCUGCUCCCACAACAGGCACAUGUGAAUAUAAAUACGUAUUGUGUGGCAGGGGCCAAGGGCUGUUCCCUCAGCUGCACAAAGGCAGCGUCUACACGACGAGUGACCCUGGAAGGGGCAACAUCUCAGCGAGUGAUUCGGAUUGACUGCACGCCUCAUCUGAAAGAUUGUGCAGAAAGUGGUCAAUGCCAUGGCCAGACCCCCUCCCCUCCCUGAUUUGAACAAAGACCAGUCUCCCCCCUGUGUAGGCUGAGCAGAGGAGCCUGCUGUGGUUCCACACAUUCGAAGUGAACACUAGGGUAUGGAUGGAGGGGAAGGCAGGGCCCAACCUUUCCUAGUUCCUUAACCUUCUCAUGAGGACAUUAGGGACGCCUUAAUACAAUUCUCAACAGCUUGGUCUUCUCUCCCAGAACUCCCUGCCCCCUAACAUUUUCCAUUAUGCUUUCUGCUCCUUAAUUUCCUCACCUCUGCUACAGAGAUCAGCUCACCUGAUUGCUCAGACGAACUCCUGUUUUGUCAGAUUCCUUUCUUUUUUCUGCUUCUAGACUCUCUUUUGAGGACCUCAUUCCAGGCUCAUUCUUGACAAGGAAACAAAGAAUGUUUAUUAAUUUUUAAUCUCAGGGCAUUAGGAACUUUGGCUUUCAGAAUAAAAGGAUAAAGAAAACACAAAAUUUAUUUAUUUGCCAAUAUAAAAAGGUAUAAACUCUAGACCUUAGUUUCCCCUGUUCUAACAAGCAUGAGUAAAAGGUAACACAUAUUUUAUUAAAAAGAAUUAUAUAAACAAGUUUUAAUAUAGAAAUUUGUUGGUUCAUAGAUUUGAGAUAUAAAGCAUUUAUUGUUUAAAGACUGAUAACAUGGGAAAUAUUAGAGAAUUGUGAAGUUGUUUAUGUAGAAUAAGUUUGUUUUUUUUUCUAUUACUCUGAAGAUUGCUACUUAUGGAACUUACUUUUCCUUGCCAUUUAGAAUUCAAUUUUUUCUUGUUUUCAUCAUCACUACAGCUCAAACUUUUUGUGGCUCUAGCCUCACCAAUAUUAGUUUGAUUUCUAAAUAUAAGGACCUUAAUCUCAUACAAAUUUAUUGAAAGUCAUGUCUUCUGUUCCUAUCAUUUAAUUACUCAUAGAUCUAGAGUGGAAAGGGAUUUCUUACCAACAAAUUAACAACAGAUAGGGAAAACCAAGUAAAAGAGCACAAGAAGAUGACUCACUUUAUGGAACUCUACUCAAAUAUUUAUGUUUUCAUUUUCAUUUGGAGGAGAUACUUAUUGGAAUAUUAUUUGAACUGUUUCAUGCUAAGUAAGUAGCUGCAAUGUGAUCAAGAUUAGUGUUAUUUAUAUGUUUAAGGAGCACAACUUCUAAGUUAGACCAAGAUCCACUAGAGCAGUCUAUAUUCAUCCGUUUAUGCUCUGUGUCUUGCAUGCAGGAAAAAUCUCAUCAAUGUUAGUUGCAUGAGAAUGUUAGUUGCAUGAGAGAAUGGCAUAGCUGUAUGACUCCUGAACUAAUUUUAAAAUCUUUUCAUCAACCCUCACUCACCUUAUACACAUACAUAGCAGUCACCAUAAUACCUCUUACUUCUAAUUCCAAAUGAUAUUUUGAAUCCAGUUCCUUUUUUCUAUCUCUAUUAUCAUUGCCUUGUUCCAGGUCUCUGACCAUCCUGGGACUACAUUUUCAGAAUAUAGCCUUUCAAACAGGUUUCAUGGCCUUAAAUCCUCUCCACUUCUAGAUCUGUCCACCGUAUUUAUUUAGAGUAAUAUUUACAAGAUGUAAAUCUAGUAAUGCUUCAUUCCUGGAUAAACACUUUCUUCACUUGGUUUGACCAGGAGCCUCAUGAUGUUUUCCUGUGUACCUGCUACUUGCAUGCCCUUCACUCUAUACUUUAUCACUAUGUUCUACUAAUACCAAGUGACUUGUAUUUGCCUGCAUACACCAGCCUUAUUUCCUUAUGGUCUCCUCUUCUCUCCUGUGUUCUUCGAAACCCAGCUCAGUGUGACCUGGGGGAAGUUCCCAGAGUGAAAUAUUGCCCUGUGUUCCUUGUGUCUUUUGUACAUACUUUUAUGGAGCAAUGAGUUGUCCUUUGUCUAUUGUCUUUCCUACUAGGCCAUGCAUUCUUCAAAGACAGCCACUGUUUUUACCUUUUACUACUAACAUAUGAGUAUAUGCUAAAUGAAUACUGACUUAUUGGAAUCAUUUAUAUACUACACGUUUUUUAAUCUCUUUCUUUGCUGUCUUAAUUUCUUUUAAAUUUCUCCUUCUUCCCUUUUCUGUACUCUUUCCAUUGCCUUUAUUCUCUCCCUUCUCUUUUCCUCUACCUGAAGCCAUUAUCUGAAAUUAUUUGAUCAUUGCAGAGCCUUUGCAGAGGCAAAUGAUGGACUGAUAUCCACAUUUCUUCAGCCCCAUGGCAAGAUUCUAAGACACUCGGUUCACUCACCUUUUUCUGUUUGAGAGAUGUUUGACUCAUUUUUUUACCUGUUGAAAUUCUUUUGUUGUUAUCCACAUUUUUGUCUCCCCAGCUCCAUUUCCUGUCACUUCCCUUGCUCAGUCUAGCUUUGCAUUUAGAAUGUCAAAUUUAUGACAUCAUAUGUGAUUCCAUAGUAACAAACUGACUCUAUGAAUAUGUGAUUAACCUUUUCUUAAAAAACAAAAAAUAAAUGUUUCUUCAUUUUGAGUGUA
rnacentral:lncRNA from 1 species